rnacentral:pre_miRNA from 1 species
AAUGGAAUGGCUGGUUUAUAUGGUAGGUGUAUCUUAAUUUUUCAAGAACCUGCCAAAUUAUUUUCCAAAACGGUUUUACUAUUUACCAUUUUCACAAGUAAU